rnacentral:rRNA from 1 species
UACGUAGGGGGCAAGCGUUGUCCGGAUUUAUUGGGCGUAAAGAGCGUGUAGGCGGCCAGGUAGGUCUGCUGUGAAAACUCGAGGCUUAACCUCGAGCUGUCGGCGGAAACCAUCUGGCUAGAGUCCGGAAGAGGAGAAUGGAAUUCCCGGUGUAGCGGUGAGAUGCGCAGAUAUCGGGAAGAACACCCGUGGCGAAGGCGGUUCUCUGGGACGGUACUGACGCUGAGACGCGAAAGCGUGGGGAGCGAACAGG